AACAGCUUUGGAGAAAUUUAGCAUUACAUAAUUUUCUCACCAAUGGAUCCUCUGCAGUGAAUGGGUGCCGUCAGAAUGAGAGUCAAAACAGCUGAUAAAAACAUCACAAUUUAUCAAAGUUACAACGGCUGAUGAUUUCCAUGUGAACAAGGAUGACAUUGAAUUUUAUACACAGCCCUAAUAGUUUGAACAAACCCACCAACCAUAAACACAUUCUUUAGCAUCAAAAUGCAUAAGACUAAAAAACAUUAGGAACAUGGUCACAUAUCAUUUCAGAUACAAAAACCGAACCAGUGUAAAAAUUCUUGACACAACCUGACUCAUUUUGCAACAAAUUCUCAGGUUGCUUCCUUAAUGAGUCACGCAACCCUGUAUUUACCAAAACAAUAAUUUACCAACAGUGAAAGCUUGUAUUUCCAGUAUAGUAUUGUGUGUGAUGCCACACCCUGUCUACAGUACAAAAAAAAAAAAAUGUUAAACACAGCAGCCUAUAAGUACACGCAUCUCUGAUGCACACUCAGUUCCUGCCUGACAUCAGACACGAAACAUGGACUUCAUCAAGGGUACAGCGGAUGGGAAAGUGGACAAGAUAAUCGAUCAGGCUGCUGAUGUUGCCAAAGAGAAAGUUGGAGCAAUAAUCGGAGGAGACAAGAAAAAGGCAGGAGGUGCAAAAGGCCAGAAAGAGGGUGGAGACAAAGGCCCCGCUGAUCAGGCUGUGGACAUUGGGAAGGGCCUGUUCAAGUGAGCCUGCAUACUUUGAACAUGAACUUUCUCACUCAUCACUGGACUCUAACUGGACCCCACAAUCCUGCAUUGUUUAAACUUUGUAUGGCAGCACUGAAUGUUUCUCCGGAAGCUGUAUGUUUUAUGUCAUCUUGAAACAGGCAAUGCCUAUAUUUCUGUUAAAUAUGCUGUAGUUAAAGUUAAUUAUAAUUAUUAAUUACACAAAGCCAAUAAAACUGAUGCUUAACGUGAUGCAAAUAAAGAACUGUGUCUCAGAGGGAGAUUGAGUUAGUAUACAUGGUGAGGUUUUUUUUUAUGCUUGAAAUGCUUUCUGUAAUAUUGUCAAACAUGAUGCCAUGUUUUAAGAUAAGACAAACCAGCUAAUACCACAAAACAUCACAGAAUUAAUAAAAUCCAUUCCUAAUA
ensembl:lncRNA